GCUACUGCACUCUUCAUGGAUUCCUGCAGUGAUAUGAUGAGCUGCCUCAAGCACCUGCCACUGUGACUGCCCCAGCAUGAUGGGCUGGAACCUAGAAUGUGUCCCAGAGAAGACUUUAAGACCAC